rnacentral:piRNA from 1 species
UGGGUGCUGAUGCUGUCAAUAAGCCACACGCA